GACGAACGCUGGCGGCGUGCUUAACACAUGCAAGUCGAACGCGCCUGUCCUCUGGGUUUCUGGGGGGUGGGUGAGUGGCGAACGGGUGAGUAACACGUGAGUAACCUGCCCCCUUCUUCGGGAUAACGGUCUGAAAGGGCUGCUAAUACCGGGUAUUCACUGGUCUCCGCAUGGGGUCUGGUGGAAAGGUUUUUUUCUGGUGGGGGAUGGGCUCGCGGCCUAUCAGCUUGUUGGUGGGGUGAUGGCCCACCAAGGCUUUGACGGGUAGCCGGCCUGAGAGGGUGACCGGUCACAUUGGGACUGAGAUACGGCCCAGACUCGUACGGGAGGCAGCAGUGGGGAAUAUUGCACAAUGGGCGCAAGCCUGAUGCAGCGACGCCGCGUGAGGGAUGGAGGCCUUCGGGUUGUGAACCUCUUUCGCCCGUGGUCAAGCCGCGACGUGGGUCGUGGUGAGGGUAGUGGGUAAAGAAGCGCCGGCUAACUACGUG
rnacentral:rRNA from 1 species